CUUUGAAUUCAGACCGAUUUCUUCCGCUGCGAAAGCGUGACUUUUACGAUCCAGUAAUUUUCCCGGUCGAGCACGGAUCCAGCAAUUUCCCCAGUUACCGUGCUACGUGUCGUGAGGAGCGAUCGCGUGCUCCCUCUCUCCUCUCCUCCGUGUUGCCGCGUUUACACGCGUGUGCUCACGUGUCGCGAGGCGUGUCCGCUUGCGAGCACGAGAUAUAUAUUCGAUCCAAAGGGAACGGGUUUAAGGUGAAAACGCGCAAGAAGAAGACGUUGUCGAACCCCUCCCCUCCUCGUGGAGGGGAAUACGCGUCUUCGCGAUCGGUUUUUGUGAUCCCAAUUGCCGUUCGGAAUUCCCGUCCGUCGACGGUGGCUCGUUCGAAUUUUCGAAACAGGGGCGAAUUGAUCAACAAUUACGUCGUUACAACAAUAUUUUUCUUUCCCUAUUUUUUUCGAUAUCGAUCUUCGCAUGCAUUCGAAAUUUGAUUAUUCUCGUCUGUAAAAAUGUCUUUAUCCGAGCCUUCGAUUUUAAUUAGCUCCGCAAAAAACUCGAGAAAUCUUAACUAUCCACUUAGGAAUGUCCCUCGAGUCAUCAAGAGAUACAUUUAUUCCUGUCCCUCUGACUAUUUUUACCACCUCCGAUACCUAGCUCCAAGUUAUAUUUCGCGGAAGAAUGCGAACGAUUCGCCUGGGGAAAAAAAGCGUCGACGUACCCUUCUCCCCCUCCCUCCCUUCCUUUUUUCGCCCCACGUUUCCACCGUCAGGGUCGGAAAAACGGCGACAGAGACGAUUCUUUUAAUUAGAGAUCGCCGCGCGAAUCCUGUGAACCGGUGUCGUUAUAAGCGAGGACGAGGGAGGGGGAGAAGGUGGAGAAGGGAGAACGGAGGAGGAGGAGGAGGAGGAGGGGGAGUGGCAAAAAACAAAGUGGAUCACGCGGCGUGUCCUAUACAAAGAAAACCCCUGCCUCGAACAUGGAAACCCGGCAUCGACGUGGUCCGCGACGAUCGACUUUCGCGGUCAAGUGCUCACGGCCAUAAAGGGUUGUAAAUGUGACAAAUGAGGCGAGCAUAACCUCUAAACGUUUCAUACCAUCGAGAAAUCGUGGCUCGCAUAAGCGUUAAUCAACCAGCCAUUUUUGGAUCGCGAUCAACCACUUGUAACGGUCGAACAACGUAAAGCGGCCGAUCCGUUCGGCGGAACGGGGACCGAAAUCGAUCAUCGAGACAAGGGACAACCUUAAAUGGAUCGAACGCUCGCGGACGAGAACAGAAGCUCUUAAAUUGAGAUUUAAGUAAGUGUCUUACCUUCUCCCUUUUGCCAUCCGAAAUUAUAUCGUCACGCGAGCUUUAUUUCGUUUCAGGCUUUCCAGGAAAGGAAAAAGAUAUAUCCUCGAUCCGCUUACUUCUUCUUAAUAUUAGUCAAUACAUUCCUUCCUGGACAAAUUUAGCCGCGAAAGAAUUUUUUCGAGAUUAAUUCCGCUUCAAAAGGGGUUAUAAUAAAAAAGUAACUUUAAGCAACUUCGUUCCACUCGAAUUCUCGAUUACGCGCCUCCAAAAUUUCCAAUAUAAUACGAACAACUCGAACUCCCUCGUCGAAAUAAUCUACAGUGGACUGGUUCCACUAUCCAUAAAUUGCCCGGGAGGGAAAUUAUAAUCCAAACUAUCCGAAAUAACCACGUUCGUCGCCAUAAAUCCACGUCCUCCGAAUCCAAAAAAUAAAUCUCGAGCCCGAGGGAAAGUUCGAGAAACAUGGAGAUCUCGAGAAAAGCGAAGUUGUCGAAAAAGAGAAAAAACGAAAUGGAAGAAGAAAAGAAGCGAAAGAGAUCUCUUUACACGAUCUUAAUAACGUGGUGUUAUAAAUGAUAACGGAUAUCGUGAUUAGAGAUUAGAUAAAGAUAAAGAUUGGAGGAACAUCGGUUUCCUAUCGGUCUGCUGUAUUUGUCCGAUGGUGAAAGCAAAGAGUAAGAAGAUCGAUCUUUCCUUGGAUUUUUCCGCGUGGAAAAUAUUUCUGAAUCGCGUAACGAUCGAUUUUACGACGCAAGUGCAAAUAGGAGACUCGAUUCGUAUUACGUAACACAGUGAAAUAUAGUUUGAUGGCCAGAGAAACGAAUUGAUUAUUCUUGAGACACGAGGCGAAGAUCGAUGGAGAAUAUUUGAAUCGGUUUGCGAAUCGAAUUCUCGAUUCCUGAGAAAUUGAGAAAGUUGCGAACGCUCCACGAUAUUUCCCCUCGACUCGUCGGGGAUAAGAUAGAUAAAAAAAAAAAAAGGACUUCAAGGACGUAUGAUAAUGAGUCCUGGCUAAAAAAGAAGAAGGAAAAGAGUCUUUCAGAGGGAUCCGCCGACAAAAAUCCGGUUCGAAGUAAGGAACGAUCGAUGGAACGCCUACCCUCCCCUCUAAAAACCUAUUUUCUGGGUCUAAACCGUAAUUAUACGCCUCGUGUCGAGCGAACGUGUGCCAAAUUCCUCGAGGAGGAAUCGGCGAGGACGUAUAAAUCUUGGUCGCGCGAAGAGGAGGCGUGUAACCUCGGAUGGAAAUCACGAAGAAACUUUGUCCAAUCCAAGACCCUUCGCUCACAACGUUGGACCGAAAUUUACUUUCCAUUAUUUAUCUUGGAUAUUUGUAAAAAUUGAUUACCAGUGAUUUUUUAGCGAGGCUUUCUCGAAAGAGAAAAGGGCUGUAAGAUGCGUGAAUUGUUGGAUACGAUACGUUGGAUACGAGAGAUAGUUUCUACGAUUGGGGACGAAAAUUAUUAAUUGUUUGGGAAAGAAUCGACGUUUCCUUUUUUUUCUUCUUAUUCUUCAUUCCUCUUAUUUGUUCACAGGGAAGAUGGACGAGUUGAGAAGGAAUCCUUCAAAUUGCCGCGCCGUAAAUCUGCCGAGCGAUUUAGUACACGUGAAUAUCACGACGGGCUUAGGAGAUAGGAACGCGAGCUGCCACGGUACGAAUAAAAGAGCGGCGGAGGGAGGGGAAUGCGAGUAUAAAUCGUCGUAAAUUUCAUGGUUGUAAAUGCCAUUCAACCAUCUCCCCUUCUUCUUUAUGCUUCUCCCUUCGUCAUGCGGCGCGCAUGCGUCGAUAAUACUUGCCAAAAAAGAAAAACCCUUCCUCCCCUCCUCCUCCUCCGAGAGAGAAUAUUCGUUUAAACGUUAUUUCCAUCCGUGGAAGAGAAAUGUUAACGUCGUUUCCAACUGCGCUCAACUUUACUUUACGCGAUAUUAAUUAAAUACCUCGCCUUUCCUUUUUCUUUUCGCAACGAGUCCUUUUCGACACGAAUAACUUAGAACAAAGGAACGAACUUGGAAUACGCGCCACGUUUCGUUCGAUUCCGUGGAGACGAGAUGCGCGGAGGAUCGAAGGAAAGAUCGUUGAUUUUUCACUCGAUGAAAGAAGAAGAGGAAAAACAGAAAAAAACUGGUUUCGAUCCACACCGGUCUCCAUAAGCUGUUGCACAAUGGCGCGCGAACGGAGCGGAGUGGAAAAGGGCAUAGACAGGGGGCCGCCACGUACGUUUCUACGAUCGGUCUACCGAUAAAUAUCGAUCUUUCAUUUGCAGAUAGCAAGGAGGGGGACAAGGUUUCCCUCCUCGAGAGAUCGCCUUAUGCAGACAAAAGGAACGCGCGCGAAAGGCGAAAAAGGGGCGAACUCGUGGCUCGAUGUGCCGGAAAGAUCCUUUCCUCCUUUGAACCGAGCAGUUUUAACCGUGAAACCAAUUAACCUUUGGAUCCACGUGUCCGUGCUUUGCGUAUCCUUGUUCCAGGGACAAAGGAACGGGGGGUGUGUGGAAUACCGAGAUAUCUUGCAGGUUUAGUUAGUCUUUAUUUCUUUUUCGACCCGUUAUCUCUACGUAAAAUUUAAACCAGAAAAGAGACACUCGUUUUUCUCUUUCAUUAGCGCUCUCUCGAAGGAUUCUUAAGUACGUAUUCCACUUUUAAAAUCAAGGGAUAAAGAAAAUCACGUUAUCAGAAACUGAAACGCAAGUUUAUUUAAUUUUAAUAACACCAUGAUUAACGUAUAAACGUUAACGUAUGUAUAUAUAUAUCGAAAAAAAGAGAGAGAAGGAGAAGAAAAUUUUCGUUUAAAUCUCGAGUCGCGAUUUAUCAACGCCAACUUAUCAAUUAAUCGUCUGGACGGGCAGUGGUUCGGUGUAAAACAAGCGGCGAUUAAAAAGGGGGAGUUGAAAAAAAGGAAAAGAAAAAAAGAGGUGGAAAGAGAUGGAGGAGGGCCCCUGUGUCGCCGCGCAAGAAGAUAUUCACGGGAAUUUAGUAGGAAUAUCGAGUCGGCCACCAGCCGAGUGUGUACACCGAUUCUAAAUACAGCCACCUCUCUACCCCUUGCUGGCAGGAUCUAGCCAAACGUGUUCUGCGUCCGUGGAGAGAGAGAAGAUUGGCCGUCAGUCGUUCAGUGGCCGAAGCCGGAUCCCUCCUAAGCGAUAACCGAGACCAUCUUUUCGAUCGCUUUCUUUCCAACCAAUCAUUGUCUUGGCUCGAUAACCGUGUCGGCUGAAUCUAAACGCGUACUAAGAGGACUCCGUGCAUUUUUCGAACCGAUUCUUUCGAGAGGAGCAGGAGAAUUUAGAUGAUAAGAUUUUUCAGCUUCGUUAGAUUCCUUACUCUCCUCUUCACUUUCUCUCCACUUUCUUCUUUCUUUUUGUGAAAUAGUACGAAUGGUAAGAAGGGAAUGUAAGAAAAGUGAAGAGAAUUAUCUUUUUCUUUUCUUUUUGUUUGCGUAAAUGGUUAAGCUUUUUCUCGAUAUUCUUCGAUGGUAAAUUUUAUCCACUCGUAAAAUUUUUCUCCACUGUCAUGUUUUCAAAAAUUUUGGAAAAAUUUAAUUAUACAGUAAUAUCGAAGAUAUUAUAGAAGUAAAAAAAAAAAAAAAGAUAUGGAGAGGAAUUAAGAGAAGAGAGUUAGAGUGUCUACGGUAUAAUUUUGUAAUAUUUCAUAGUGUAGUAAAAUUUUAUGAUUAUUCGUGGCUCGUAAGAAGAAUUGAUAAUAAUUAUGAUUCUUUAUGAGCCGAAUUAGAUAUCCGGUAUCGAUAUUAUCGACGAUACCGACCAAUAAACCGUAACCACAAAGACAUCUUCCCUUCGAUGUAAACUGGCAAUUACAGGUGUAAUUAUCUUGUACACCCUUCAUUAGUCCGCUGUAUUGAUAUAUUGCGCAGCUGACAAGUGGAACAGCCUACCUGAACUCGAGAAUUAUUGGCCAAUUGCGUGUAUCUUCAGAAUUUAAACCGUUUACUUUUUCAACAAAUUUUAUAAAAUAUCUUUCGAUAAAUAUUUUCAUCCUAUUCUUAACUAUUUUAAUUAUUCUUUUAGGAUCGCAGUUUUCAAAUAUUUGAGGAACUCGUAAUCGAAAAUAGGAAAUAAAAUCUAAUGAUUACUCACAUUGUCCGCGGCAUUGAUGUCGAUUUCUCUAAGAAGCAAAGUUUCGCAGACAUCCACGUGGCCAGCUGCUGCAGCCAGUAACAGAGGACUUCUCCCAUUCUGUGGACAAAAGAAAUACGUAAUUUCGUUUAAAAAUUUAUUUAGGAUUGAAAUAGAUUUAUUUAAUUUAAGAACCGAAUAUUGGAAUUAAAAAAAUUCUUUUAAAAAAUAUUGUAAAAAAAGAUGAGGGAUAAGUAUGUUUGGAACUAAGAGAAGUGUUGGAAAAAACGAUAAAAAACUUAAAAAAAUACCUGAUAUAACAGAUAAGUACGCAAAAGAUAAGUAAAAAGAUAAGUAUAUUUAUAAUUAAGAGAACUGUUGAAAAAAAUAGAUAAAAAACUCGAAAAAAUAGUAGUCGUAACAAUUAUAAAAGAUAAGUAAAAAGGUAAGUAUAUAAAAUUUCAUAAAAAUUUGGACAUUGGAUUCUAAAAAUGUAAAAAUCAACAAAAAUUCCAAAAAUUUAACGUCAUUUCCAAGAACUGACGAAAUUUCUGGAAAAAAUUCUCGAACGACCUCCUAUCGACUUAUGUUCUCCUGAUACAAAGUCGAAAUUUCGGCCAAAAAUUUUUUUCGUUCAAGAAUUUGGGAAAUUCCAGGAAUUUGACGUCAUUUCCAAGAAUUUGGGAAAUUCCAGGAAUUUGACGUCAUUUCCAAGAAUUUUUAAAUUUCUAAGAAUUUGACAUCAUUUCCAAGAAUUUUUCAGAGAAAUUUAAUUUACUUACCUUUUAGUUACCUUUUCAAGUACAACACUUCCAGAAAAAACACUUCUUCAUCAUUUUACUUAGAACUAAUUAUAGAAUUUGAUACGCUUAUCUAUUUCGUAUUUAACUUUUACAAAAUUAGCACUUUGAACAGGUUAUAUUUUUAAAAAAUAAAGAAAAUAUAUAAAAGAAAUAUGUAUAAGACAUAUAGAAAGCUAAUUUAUAUAUUAAAUGAUUUACACAUAAAAAUGCAUGCAAUAAAAUGUAUUUAAAAAAAAUAUAUAAAAACCUUCCAACGUUAAUCCGUGUUAAUCGCUAAUUGAUCAAGUAAUUUUAACUAUUUUUAAAUAUCAAUAUAAUAUAUUUGUUACAUAUUAACUACUUUUCCAAGCUAAAAAUUAAAUAUUAAACACUUUAUCAAUUAUUAUUGUUCGCGUAUAUUCAAUUUUUAUUAAUUAAACAUUUACCAUUUCAUAAAAUUUCUAGAAUUCGAAUUAAAAUGAGAACUAUUCGAUUAACAGAACGCUUGAUUCAUAUAAUUAUCGAUUCAUAUACUCGGAAGCAUUGAAUAUUCAUAUACAAGACCAUUUAAAUGUAUAAUUUAAACAUAAAAUUACUCCGUUUAUCUGAAAAAAAAAGAAAAA